rnacentral:tRNA from 1 species
GCCGAAAUAGCUCAGUUGGCAGAGCAACGCAUUCGUAAUGCGUAGGUCGCGGGUUCGAGUCCCGCCUUCGGCUC